UACAAUUUCCAGGAAAAAUCCAGUUUGGAAUAUUUUGUCGAGAUCAUCAAAAGAUUUAUCAUUUAGAAUGCUUCCAGAGCACAGAACAGAAACCUGUUGCUCCACAUGAGCCUCCUUUCUCCGUUCUUCCACCAAUAAAGGAUAUCAGUCAAUUUGACUGUAGAGACUUAAACCUUACAAGACAAGGAUUCGAGAAACUUCUAAAGG